rnacentral:lncRNA from 1 species
GGGGCAUGUUCAGGGUCCCGUGCAAGUGCCGAAGAGAGGCAGCUACUCAGCCUUGCAGGGAGAGAGCUUUCUGGAAGAUGAAAGGUGCUAGUGAGCGGAGAAGGCUUCCCAGGACAGGAAGCUCCUGACUUUAAAACGAGUAGUUUAGUAAGUGGGUGGCGGGGCACAGGGCAUUUCAGCAGGUGAGCAGCAAGUCCAGAAACCCUAGAGGUGUCAUGAAACAUGGAACCACCUGGGAAUUGAAAGCAGCUCAGUAUAUUUGGAAUGUGGGAGAUUUGGGGGUCAUGAUGAGAGGUGAAAUUGGAGUGGUAAACAGGAGCGGUAUCAUUAAGGAUAUCGGGUUAGGUGCUGAGUUAAGGUUUCAGUGUGAGAGUUUGGACUUUAUUCUGAAGAUCACAGAGAAAGAUCAUUUGUAAGCAGCAUGGAAAAUAGAUUUGAAAGGUCAAGACUAGAAGUGAGACCAGUUUGUAGGCUAUUUGGUUGGUGGGAGGGGAUAGACUGGGAAAAGUCAAGCAUGAAUCCCAGGUUUCUGGCUCGGACGAUGGGUAAAAGUGCCAUUCAUUCAGAUAAGAAGUCCAAGGAGCAAGUGGGGCAUUUGGUAAGCAAAAUGAUGAGGUUGGGUGCAGACACCUUGGGACACCCAAAGGGUGACAUUCAAUAAUCAAUUGGAUAUAGGAGGGAGAUCUGGCUGGAG